UACGGGGGGAGCAAGCGUUGUUCGGAUUUACUGGGCGUAAAGGGCGCGUAGGCGGCGUAACAAGUCACUUGUGAAAUCUCCGGGCUUAACUCGGAACGGUCAACUGAUACUGUCGGACUAGAGUGCAGAAGGGGCAACUGGAAUUCUCGGUGUAGCGGUGAAAUGCGUAGAUAUCGAGAGGAACACCUGCGGCGAAGGCGGGUUGCUGGGCUGACACUGACGCUGAGGCGCGAAAGCUAGGGGAGCGAACGGG
rnacentral:rRNA from 1 species